AGCGUGCACGGCUCGGCCGACGAGGCCUGGGGCGCUCUGGACGUCCUGGUGCGCGGGCGUUCCCGCCGCUGGCGCGCCC
rnacentral:tRNA from 1 species